UAUAAUUAAAUAAUUUUACUGGGGUAGUAACUUUUGAUAUAUUGAAGUUUGAUAAACAUUAAAGUGGGGGUAGUUCUUAUAAAUAAUAAAAGAUUGAUUAAGUUACUUUAGGGAUAACAGCGUAAUAAUUUCGGAAAGUUCAUAUUUAUGAAAUUGAUUGCGACCUCGAUGUUGAAUUAAAUAAUCUUAGUAGAGCAGAAGCUAUUAAAGAGGGUUUGUUCAACCUUUAAAUUUUUACAUGAUCUG
rnacentral:rRNA from 1 species